AGUCGUCGUCACUGUCGCUGCUAGUUGUAUCAUGAUCCAGGAUGACCGGGGAAGGACUCGGAGGAGGAAGACUGAACUGCUGGGGACCUGGAAUGUAGAAGAUCAUCGUUAAGCGUACAAUUUGGUGACAUGGGUUAAGCUCCAUGAAACUGUAAAAGGUUCAGCACAUCCCUCUUGCCCCUCAAACGCUUCAAGAGAAAGAGCAACCAGUUGAAUUUCAGCGCGAAGUGGUUGGUGAGGAUGUGGCGAAGGAUUCUUCGAACCGCGUCACCAGGAUUGCAGCCCCCAAGCGCACUAAGGUGUGCUGCCUGCAGAAGAUCCUCCACCCUUUGAAGGUCUUCCUCGCUGUUCAUUGGGAACUUAAAUUCCUCAGAUGGAGUGUCUGCUGCUGCUGUCGUUUUUUGCCUAGUAAGGGCCUGGAGGAGGAGGUUGUUCUGCCUCACCAAGGCCUUCAACUCCUCCACAGCACGCAGGAGUGCAUGAUCCCGUUCUACAGGACAGAAAAACAUCAUGACUGUCAUGUCAAGAGGUGCUCCUGGUUUGGGCUUUUUUCAGGUUCAUACGCGCUGCAUCAUAAUUGGCUGUUGAAGACAACAAUGAAGUCUCAUCUGGCAUAGCGCUUUGGAUGACUGCAAUUUUCGUCCGCUUGGUGUCUUUAUACGGUGGCCAAAAAGACACCUUGCCGUCCAAACUUAGCCACGAGCAAGGCACAACCUCCACCUCAUUUGACUCGGUUCCCAACCACAGCUGUCCCCAGUGCAGUUGAAUCAACAGGGUGGUUGAAAAAUGGACGUUGGUCUAAAUAUUGCCUCGCCACAAAAGACGUACCACCAAGUGUCCUGCUAAUUGCCUCUAUUUUAAAAGUGGCACCACC